AAAUGCUGUGAAAGUUGUCAGUUUUAUAAUGGGACCCUAUGGGAAUCGGAAUUAGUGUAAUAUAACCUUUAAAAAGCACAUUUACUGCAAUGUCAAGGUCACAUGGAUUCGUCUGCAAGCGAGACAAGUAGAAAAUGAAUUUUAAUGAAUGUUUUGAUGAUUUGGGUGCUAAAAUAGAUGAGAGGUGUCAAUAUUUUGGUCCAAAUGGAUGUUUUAGGUGGUUUUGGACUGUUCCGGAUGGGUGGGGGACCUGGUAUGGACAAGUAAGGGUAACAUUUCCAACAAAUCUUAAAUGUAAAUAUUAUUAUGUCCAUAGAUUGAAGUUUCAGGUGGAGAGCAAGAUGAAAAAUAUGCAAAAUUACAUGCAUGCAACCCAUUUAUGCCAUUUUUCUCUUUGUUUGUAGGCCUGACCGUUUGUCCUUGAGCCGUAGAUGGUCAACAAUCCGCUAGCUGUCUUGCUCUGACUGGUGCACUGGACAUGAUUUCAAUAGUCAGCCAGACCAUGAUUGAGCUUAAGGGUUGUGCUGCGGAUGCAGCCUGUGCAGUUCCGGGAGAAAGUCACUGUCUCGGGCAAUGCGGUCUGGUAUCAGGUCUUGAUGAUCCUUGCCUGACUGCGGGUUUGUGUACUCUAAUCCGACUCUGUGUCCUGAACAGAGGCCGCAGUGGUGCAGCGCUUGUGGACGAUCCAUCAACAUCCUGAAAGGUCAACACUACACCAAGCUGGGAAAAUUGAUCCUGAUAGUCAUCCCCAGGCCUGACCGUUUGUCCUUGAGCCGUAGAUGGUCAACAAUCCGCUAGCUGUCUUGCUCUGACUGGUGCACUGGACAUGAUUUCAAUAGUCAGCCAGACCAUGAUUGAGCUUAAGGGUUGUGCUGCGGAUGCAGCCUGUGCAGUUCCGGGAGAAAGUCACUGUCUCGGGCAAUGCGGUCUGGUAUCAGGUCUUGAUGAUCCUUGCCUGACUGCGGGUUUGUGUACUCUAAUCCGACUCUGUGUCCUGAACAGAGGCCGCAGUGGUGCAGCGCUUGUGGACGAUCCAUCAACAUCCUGAAAGGUCAACACUACACCAAGCUGGGAAAAUUGAUCCUGAUAGUCAUCCCCAGGCCUGACCGUUUGUCCUUGAGCCGUAGAUGGUCAACAAUCCGCUAGCUGUCUUGCUCUGACUGGUGCACUGGACAUGAUUUCAAUAGUCAGCCAGACCAUGAUUGAGCUUAAGGGUUGUGCUGCGGAUGCAGCCUGUGCAGUUCCGGGAGAAAGUCACUGUCUCGGGCAAUGCGGUCUGGUAUCAGGUCUUGAUGAUCCUUGCCUGACUGCGGGUUUGUGUACUCUAAUCCGACUCUGUGUCCUGAACAGAGGCCGCAGUGGUGCAGCGCUUGUGGACGAUCCAUCAACAUCCUGAAAGGUCAACACUACACCAAGCUGGGAAAAUUGAUCCUGAUAGUCAUCCCCAGGUAGUGGAAUGAAUGUUCACUGAACUACAGAGGAAUCACACCCAAAUGACUUUCCUGCCACGACAUUAGUGUGGCCACUCGCGUAGGAAUUCCUUAGCAAACAUGCUCUUUUGCAUGGUGACUGUGGACAUUUUUGCAAAACUUACGAUUUCAACACUGGAUUUUAAAGAGAAUACUUAAUAAAAUGUCGCUAACAGGACUUAUUUAUAUGAGAGAGACUAUCUGGAUGCGCAUUAAGUGUCACUUUGUGUCGUAAGCUGUUGAAGGAGCGAUUUGCGCCUUUUUAAGUGUUAAUUUUGGGUAGCCGGCUUGUAUCGGCUUGAAAGCUGAAAAUUAUGCCUCUCAUCAUAAUAGCAUUAAUUUUUGUAAUUGCAAUGUGUAUGUUUAGAUUGUAAGUGAAGCUUUUAAUAAUAAUUUUCUUAAAAAACAUGA